AUUAGCUAGUUGGUGAGGUAACGGCUCACCAAGGCGACGAUGUCUAGGGGUUCUGAGAGGAAGGUCCCCCACACUGGUACUGAGACACGGACCAGACUCCUACGGGAGGCAGCAGUGAGGAAUAUUGGUCAAUGGGCGAGAGCCUGAACCAGCCAUGUCGCGUGCAGGAAGACGGCCCUAUGGGUUGUAAACUGCUUUUGUACGGGAAGAAAAAAGAUUACGAGUAGUCUAUCGACGGUACCGUACGAAUAAGGAUCGGCUAACUCCGUGCCAGCAGCCGCGGUAAUACGGAGGAUCCGAGCGUUAUCCGGAUUUAUUGGGUUUAAAGGGUGCGUAGGCGGGCUUAUAAGUCAGUGGUGAAAUCUUGCCGCUUAACGGUAAAAUUGCCAUUGAUACUGUAGGUCUUGAGUUCAGUUGAGGUAGGCGGAAUGUGGUGUGUAGCGGUGAAAUGCAUAGAUAUACCACAGAACACCGAUUGCGAAGGCAGCUUACUAAACUGUCACUGACGCUGAUGCACGAAAGCGUGGGGAUCAAACAGGAUUAGAUACCCUGGUAGUCCACGCUGUAAAC
rnacentral:rRNA from 1 species